rnacentral:rRNA from 1 species
CACGUAGGGGGCAAGCGUUGUCCGGAUUUAUUGGGCGUAAAGAGCGUGUAGGCGGCCGGGUAAGUCCGGUGUGAAAACUCGAGGCUUAACCUCGAGAUGUCAUCGGAAACUAUUCGGCUAGAGUCCGGAAGAGGAGAGUGGAAUUCCUGGUGUAGCGGUGAAAUGCGCAGAUAUCAGGAAGAACACCCAAGGCGAAAGCAGCUCUCUGGGACGGUACUGACGCUGAGACGCGAAAGCGUGGGGAGCGAACAGG